UACGGACAUUUCACGUUGAAACACCGGUUUGCGUACAAUCACCGAAGUUAAGCAAUGUUGAGCCUGGCCAGUCCCUAGGUGGGUGAGCCCUUGGGAAUACCAGGUGCUGUGU